rnacentral:rRNA from 1 species
UACGUAGGGUGCGAGCGUUGUCCGGAAUUAUUGGGCGUAAAGAGCUCGUAGGUGGUUUGUCGCGUUGUUCGUGAAAACUCACAACUCAAUUGUGGGCGUGCAGGCGAUACGGGCAGACUGGAGUACUGCAGGGGAGACUGGAAUUCCUGGUGUAGCGGUGGAAUGCGCAGAUAUCAGGAGGAACACCGGUGGCGAAGGCGGGUCUCUGGGCAGUAACUGACGCUGAGGAGCGAAAGCGUGGGGAGCGAACAGG